CCUACGGGAGGCAGCAGUGGGGAAUAUUGGACAAUGGGGGGAACCCUGAUCCAGCGACGCCGCGUGAGUGAAGAAGUAUUUCGGUAUGUAAAGCUCUAUCAGCAGGGAAGAAAAUGACGGUACCUGACUAAGAAGCCCCGGCUAACUACGUGCCAGCAGCCGCGGUAAUACGUAGGGGGCCAGCGUUAUCCGGAUUUACUGGGGGGAAAGGGAGCGUAGACGGUGCAGCAAGUCUGAGGUGAAAGGUUGUGGACAAACCCCGGGACUGCAUUGGAAACUGUUGAACUGGAGUACAGGUGAGGUAAGCGGAAUUCCUAGUGUAGUGGUGAAAUGCGGAGAUAGUAGGAGGAAAACCAGUGGCGAAGGCGGCUUACUGGACUGUAACUGACGUUGAGGCUCGAAAGCGUGGGGAGCAAACAGGAUUAGAUACCCGAGUAGUC
rnacentral:rRNA from 1 species